UACAACAAUGUUUUGAUAUGGGUCGUUGCAUUAGAAUUAUUUUUGGCAACGUGCGCCAAAUUCCCACAAUCAUCUUUUUCCCUCUAUUUUUUUUCAUGAAAUUUUAAAACCUUUACAAAAUCUUUUCCGAUUUCAAUACUCCUAACUUUUCCUAAAACAAGGGAAAAAAAUAAGAUCUAUACACAGUAUAGGUAACUGAAAAUGAAAAACCCUAAGAGUUCACGAAAAAUUCUAAAUUCCCAAAUCUUUCAAUUGCUAAGAGGAAGAGGAAGAAUUCACGAAAUUUCUUUCAAUAUUAUUCCAAAACUCUUCCUGAAUUUAUGAAUAUCUGCACAAUUCAUGUCUUAAACGCAACAAACAGGUGAAAUUCUUCAAGAAAACCGAAGAAAAGAGGCGAAAUUCGGAUUAUCAAUCGAGCUUUAAAAGGGAUUGAUGUUGCUGGUGCUGUAGGGACUGAUGCUGCUGGUGCUGUUGGGACUGAUGUUGUUGGUGCUGUAGGGACUGAUGGUGCUGGUGUUGCAUAGAUGAAGAAUGGCGACCAUGAGCUAAUCUGUUGUUGAUGAUCCAUACAUUUGUUGUUUGGAUCCAUCUUUGCAGUAGCCUUGACGGUGAAUAAUGAAACAACUGGAGGAGAUCAUCAAACGUAGACGUCUCACUAUACACACUAUCAGCCAGAUUUAGCUAGCUAUAUUAUAGUGAUGCGGUUUUUGGUGGUUAGAAGGAAAAUGAUCUAUAUGUACUUAUUAGAAGUUUUUGUUGGUACUAAAACAAAUAAUUAUUAGUUGGGUUUGAUUAAGUACAUUAAUUUUAGUUAAUUAGGAUUUUUCAUGUAUACUCUUAAUUUAAUUAGUUUUGGAAAUUAUAAUACAAACAUAACAAUUAUUUUUGGCA